UUAGACGUUUUAUAGCGUAAUGGACCCACAUCGAACCAUUUCGAACUCGAUAGUGAAACGUUACAGCGGUGAAAAUACUAAAAGGGGGGCCUUUUGGGAAGAUAACACAAUGUCUAAG
rfam:Chrysochromulina sp. CCMP291 CAF.Contig9290, whole genome shotgun sequence.